rnacentral:snoRNA from 1 species
AAGAUCGAAGCCGACGAUCUCAUCUCUCAAAUUCUUGUAGGAUUAGACGCAGAAUACAAUCCUUUCUCUCCUCCAUUGCCGCAAGAACCAACGCCUAUUCCCUGAGCGAAAUUUAUGCUCAGUUUCUUGCCUUUGAAA